ensembl:lncRNA
GUUUUCUUUGAAAAAACAUGAAUUUUGGCGCAAAAAAAACGCCUUACUAUACUAUGUCGAAAAAAAAUGCGAUUUUUCAAACAUGUUGUAAAAACGUGCCAUAUGAUGAAAUAAUGUAAAGGAGGCCGUGAAAACCACUCCAGAAAGGUUUUCUUUGAAAAAAAAAUCAUCAUGAAUUUUGGCGCAAAAAAACGCCUUACUAUACUAUGUCGAAAAAAAAAUGGGAUUUUUCAAACAUGUUGUAAAAACGUGCCAUAUGAUGAAAUAAUGUAAAGGAGGCCGUGAAAAACACUCCAGAAAGGUUUUCUUUGAAAAAACAUGAAUUUUGGCGCAAAAAAACGCCUACUAUACUAUGUCGCAAAAAAAUGGGAUUUUUCAAACAUGUUGUAAAAACGUGCCAUAUGAUGAAAUAAUGUAAAGGAGGCCGUGAAAACCACUCCAGAAAGGUUUUCUUUGAAAAAAAAAUCAUCAUGAAUUUUGGCACAAAAAAACGCCUUACUAUACUAUGUCGAAAAAAAAUGGGAUUUUUCAAACAUGUUGUAAAAACGUGCCAUAUGAUGAAAUAAUGUAAAGGAGGCCGUGAAAAACACUCCAGAAAGGUUUUCUUUGAAAAAACAUGAAUUUUGGCGCAAAAAAACGCCUACUAUACUAUGUCGCAAAAAAAUGCGAUUUUUCAAACAUGUUGUAAAAACGUGCCAUAUGAUGAAAUAAUGUAAAGGAGGCCGUGAAAAACACUCCAGAAAGGUUUUCUUUGAAAAAAAAAUCAUCAUGAAUUUUGGCGCAAAAAAACGCCUUACUAUACUAUGUCGAAAAAAAAUGGGAUUUU